UACGUAGGGAGCGAGCGUUGUCCGGAGUUACUGGGUGUAAAGGGAGCGUAGGCGGGCUUGUAAGUUGAAUGUCUAAUCCACCGGCUCAACCGGUGAUCGCGUUCAAAACUGCAGGUCUUGAGUGAAGUAGAGGCAGGCGGAAUUCCUUGUGUAGCGGUGAAAUGCGUAGAUAUUAGGAGGAACACCAGUGGCGAAGGCGGCCUGCUGGGCUUUAACUGACGCUGAGGCUCGAAAGCGUGGGGAGCAAACAGG
rnacentral:rRNA from 1 species